rnacentral:rRNA from 1 species
CUCCGGUUGAUCCUGCCGGACCCGACUGCUAUCAGAGUGGGACUAAGCCAUGCGAGUCAACAUAGCAAUAUGUGGCAUACGGCUCAGUAACACGUAGUCAACAUGCCCAGGGGACGUGGAUAACCUCGGGAAACUGAGGAUAAACCGCGAUAGGUCAUCACUUCUGGAAUGGGUAAUGACUUAAAUCUAUAUGGCCCCUGGAUUGGACUGCGGCCGAUCAGGCUGUUGGUGAGGUAAUGGCCCACCAAACCUGUAACCGGUACGGGCUCUGAGAGGAGGAGCCCGGAGAUGGGCACUGAGACAAGGGCCCAGGCCCUAUGGGGCGCAGCAGGCGCGAAACCUCUGCAAUAGGCGAAAGCUUGACAGGGUUACUCUGAGUGAUUUCCGUUAAGGAGAUCUUUUGGCACCUCUAAAAAUGGUGCAGGAUAAGGGGUGGGCAAGUCUGGUGUCAGCCGCCGCGGUAAUACCAGCACCCCGAGUGGUCGGGACGUUUAUUGGGCCUAAAGCAUCCGUAGCCGGUUCUACAAGUCUUCCGUUAAAUCCACCUGCUUAACAGAUGGGCUGCGGAAGAUACUAUAGAGCUAGGAGGCGGGAGAGGCAAGCGGUACUCGAUGGGUAGGGGUAAAAUCCGUUGAUCCAUUGAAGACCACCAGUGGCGAAGGCGGCUUGCCAGAACGCGCUCGACGGUGAGGGAUGAAAGCUGGGGGAGCAAACCGGAUUAGAUACCCGGGUAGUCCCAGCUGUAAACGAUGCAGACUCGGUGAUGAGUUGGCUUAUUGCUAACUCAGUGCCGCAGGGAAGCCGUUAAGUUUGCCGCCUGGGGAGUACGGUCGCAAGACUGAAACUUAAAGGGAUUGGCGGGGGGAGCA